AGAGUUUGAUCAUGGCUCAGGACGAACGCUGGCGGCAUGCCUUACACAUGCAAGUCGAACGGCAGCACGGGGGCAACCCUGGUGGCGAGUGGCGAACGGGUGAGUAACACAUCGGAACGUGUCCUGUUGUGGGGGAUAACUAGUCGAAAGAUUAGCUAAUACCGCAUGACCUCGGGAGAGAAAAGCAGGGGAUCGCAAGACCUUGCGCGAUUGGAGCGGCCGAUGUCCGAUUAGCUAGUUGGCGGGGUAAAGGCCCACCAAGGCGACGAUCGGUAGCUGGUCUGAGAGGAUGAUCAGCCACACUGGGACUGAGACACGGCCCAGACUCCUACGGGAGGCAGCAGUGGGGAAUUUUGGACAAUGGGGGCAACCCUGAUCCAGCCAUGCCGCGUGAGUGAAGAAGGCCUUCGGGUUGUAAAGCUCUUUCGGUGGGAACGAAACGGUGGAUGUCAAUACCAUCCACUCCUGACGGUACUCACAGAAGAAGCACCGGCUAACUACGUGCCAGCAGCCGCGGUAAUACGUAGGGUGCGAGCGUUAAUCGGAAUUACUGGGCGUAAAGCGUGCGCAGGCGGCGCGUUAAGACAGGUGUGAAAGCCCCGAGCUUAACUUGGGAAUUGCGCUUGUGACUGGCGUGCUGGAGUGUGGCAGAGGGAGGUGGAAUUCCACGUAGCAGUGAAAUGCGUAGAGAUGUGGAGGAACACCGAUGGCGAAGGCAGCCUCCUGGGCCAGCACUGACGCUCAUGCACGAAAGCGUGGGGAGCAAACAGGAUUAGAUACCCUAGUAGUCC
rnacentral:rRNA from 1 species